rnacentral:rRNA from 1 species
GACGAACGCUGGCGGCGUGCUUAACACAUGCCAGUCGAACGGAAAGGCCCUGCUUUUGUGGGGUGCUCGAGUGGCGAACGGGUGAGUAACACGUGAGUAACCUGCCCUUGACUUUGGGAUAACUUCAGGAAAUUGGGGCUAAUACCGGAUAGGAGCUCCUGCUGCAUGGUGGGGGUUGGAAAGUUUCGGCGGUUGGGGAUGGACUCGCGGCUUAUCAGCUUGUUGGUGGGGUAGUGGCUUACCAAGGCUUUGACGGGUAGCCGGCCUGAGAGGGUGACCGGCCACAUUGGGACUGAGAUACGGCCCAGACUCCUACGGGAGGCAGCAGUGGGGAAUAUUGCACAAUGGGCGGAAGCCUGAUGCAGCAACGCCGCGUGCGGGAUGACGGCCUUCGGGUUGUAAACCGCUUUCGCCUGUGACGAAGCGUGAGUGACGGUAAUGGGUAAAGAAGCACCGGCUAACUACGUG